rnacentral:rRNA from 1 species
GACGAACGCUGGCGGCGUGCUUAACACAUGCAAGUCGAACGGAAAGGCCUCUUUCGGGGGGUACUCGAGUGGCGAACGGGUGAGUAACACGUGAGUAACCUGCCCUUGACUUUGGGAUAACUUCAGUAAACUGGGGCUAAUACCGGAUAGGAGCUCCUGCUGCAUGGUGGGGGUUGGAAAGUUUCGGCGGUUGGGGAUGGACUCGCGGCUUAUCAGCUUGUUGGUGGGGUAGUGGCUUACCAAGGCUUUGACGGGUAGCCGGCCUGAGAGGGUGACCGGCAACAUUGGGACUGAGAUACGGCCCAGACUCCUACGGGAGGCAGCAGUGGGGAAUAUUGCACAAUGGGUGGAAGCCUGAUGCAGCAACGCCGUGUGCGGGAUGACGGCCUUCGGGUUGUAAACCGCUUUCGCUCAUGACGAAGCUUUGUGUGACGGUAGUGGGUAAAGAAGCACCGGCUAACUACGUG